UACGUAGGGUGCGAGCGUUGUCCGGAUUUAUUGGGCGUAAAGAGCGUGUAGGCGGUUAGGUAGGUCCGUUGUGAAAACUCGAGGCUCAACCUCGAGACGCCGAUGGAAACCAUCUGACUAGAGUCCGGAAGAGGAGAGUGGAAUUCCUGGUGUAGCGGUGAAAUGCGCAGAUAUCAGGAAGAACACCCGUGGCUAAGGCGGCUCUCUAGUACGUGACUGACGCUGAGACGCGAAAGCGUGGGGAGCGAACAGG
rnacentral:rRNA from 1 species